rnacentral:lncRNA from 10 species
GGGUGAAAGAGCAAGACUCUGUCUCAAAAAAAAAAAGGAGAUUUGUCUAUUCAGUCCCAGGUGGUCGAUGUUCUUAUUAUCCUAGCAAAGUCUUCUGUCUUCCAGCUAGAGAAACCAGAUCUGUUCAUAGGUUACUACCGGUUCAUGGCUUCUUUUGGAGCGAGCGAGGCUAUUGGAUGCUCCUCUGCAGUGGUUUGGGAUCCAACGAUAGCAUUUGGUUUUGAUUUGCUUCUUCAAAUUGCAUCCAAGGUCAACGGGGCUCCCUGAGUAAUGGGAAUCUGCAUCUGUAGAGUUAUUUAGAAGCCAGCCAGUCUCAGGGCGGCUGCUACGUCAUCUGGCUGGGUGUUUAUUUGCAUGUUAUAAAUACCAAGUGUUGUGUUUGACCCCUACUGUCCACACAAUCAACGUGGCUAUUUAUAUGGCCUUUCUCAGUGCUGGUCCACGUGCCUUUUCAGGGGCAGGGAGAACAGCAGGUCGAGGAGACCAGGCAUUGUGUGGGAAGCAGAUGAAUCCUGGGAGACACAUAUCCCCAAAGACAUAUCAGCUGCAGUAGGAAAACCGCUUUUGGUUAUUUAAUCAGAUCUAGCUUGAGCACUGGCUCCACGGGAGUCAAAGACAGACGUGGGGUUACCUACUUAGAAACUGGCAUUUUCCCCUCCUACCACUUUCUUCUGGAAAACUGUUGCUUUUCAUCCUUUCUUUCAUUCAUGACUCCCCUCUGGCUUUAAAAUGAGCUUGCUUUAUUUACCUUGUUUUAUUUCUCUUUGUUUCUAGUUUUAAGAUUCCUUCAACAUCAGGAUUCCCGAUCAUCUCAUCAACCGACUUGUUAAGAAAACUGAGGCCCAGGGAAGUGGCUCACAAUUGUGUAGAAUUGUGAGGUGUCUUGACUGCUGGGCCAGGUAUCCGGCAAAUAAUGGCAGGGGGCAGGGGCAGGCGUGCAGCACCCCAAGGGUAUGUCAGGCCUGGAGACUGACUUCAGAGACAACUUGGGGAGAUUCUUGGAGCUUGAGUGUACCCCUUCCAGGAGGUGCCUCCAAGCUUGUCACCCUGGGAGAGAUUUAGACCUGCCCCUCUUUAGGGGAUAAUUACAUUCCUCCCCUCCUGUGACUUUCCAGAUUAAUUACUCUCAUGCAAUAGUUGCUCUCUAAGAAUUAUUCACCUGGACAGGGCAAUGCUUUUUUUUUUUCUGUUCAUAGACAGGUCAACCUUCCUCAAAGGUGACAGUCUGACACCAGCAUGGGCUUCAACAAGAACACAAGAUACAGGCUGGUGCCCUUGGGAGCUUGGCUUACCCAGACCAGUCUCGGGAUGGCCUUCCCAGGGCCCUGUGGGAACCGAGGAACCCUGGCUUCCCAGGUCCAGUGACCAACAAAAAAAUAACCCUCUUCACAAAGAGACGUUGUUUGCUUUUCGAGGCCAUCCCACCUCUUGUUUUCAGUAUAAAUGACUGUAACAAUAUUUGCUAUGUCAAGGCCAAUGCCACUUUUAUCCUGGGGAAUGAGAAACUCUGUGACAAGUAAACUUAUUCAAGAUGGAGAAAAUUAGACUACAUCUAUUCUGUGUCUCUUAGUCCCCACUUCACAGAUAUAAAAAGAGAGGCACAGGGAGGUUAAAUAAAUUGCUAAUCAUGACUUUCUAAAAUAAACUGGAAGUGAGUUAGUGCCAAGGAAGUGAGUUAGCGCCAAAAUUCUUUGGUCAAGAAAAUUCUUCUUUGGGGGCCUGGGCAACAUGGCAAAACCCUGUCUCUGCAAAAAAUACAAAAAUUAGCCGAGUGUGUUGCACACGCCCGUGGCUCCAGCUACUAGGGAGGCUGAGGUGGGAGGAUUGCUUGAGCCCAGGAGGUCAAGGCUGCAGUGAGCUAUGAUGGCACCACUGCAUUCCAGCCUGGGAGACAGAGUGAGACCUUGUCUCAAAAAAACAAAACAAAAACAAAACAAAACAAAAAAGAAACUUCUGUUUUGGGUCUUGGAGUGGAUAUGGAGGUCAUGAAGGUCGUGAAUUUACAAAACAUCUCUCUCUUUUUGUUUAGAAGUGUAACUGCUCUAGGAAAGAAUUUGACUUUAACUCAGACUAAAAUGUCUUCAUAACAACAGCAAAACAACGAAGUAGGAUCUCAUAGAAAGGUCCUCGUUAACUGCCUGUAUGCAGAGCAGUGGGCCUUAAGCUCCACUGCCUGUGCUCAAGUCACCUUCAAGGCUUGUGGAAUUAGAUUGCGGAGUCCCAUCCUCAGAGUUUCUGAGCUCGUAAGUCUCAGGCGGGGAUCCUUAGUUUGCAUUUCUUUCUUUCUUUUUUGAGAUGGAGUCUUGCUCUGUUGCCCAGGCUGGAGUGUAGUGGUGUGAUCUUGGCUCACUGCAGCCUCAACCUCCUCAAGGCUCCAAAGUAGCUGGGACUACUCCUUUGUAUUUUUGUAUUUUGUGUGUGUAGAGAUGAGGUCUUGUUAUGUUGCCUAGGCUGGUCUCCAACUGCUACCAUCCUCCUGCCUCAGCCUUCCAAAGUGCUGGGAUGACAGGUGUGAGCCACCUAGCCUGGCCGUUAGUUUGCUUUUUUUUCUGAGACAGGGUCCCACGAUGUCGCUCUGUCGCCCAGGCUGGAGUGCGAUGGCACGACCUCGGCCACUGCAACCUCUGCCUCCCAGGUUUCAGUGAUUCUCCUGCCUCAGCCUCCCUAGUAGCUGGGAUUACAGGCACAUGUCACCACACCCAGCUAAUUUUGUAUUUUUAGUAGAGACGGGGCUUCGCUAUGUUGGCCAGGCUGGUCUCAUAUUCCUAACCUCAAGUGACCCACCUGCCUCAGCCUCCCAAAGUGCUGGGAUUACACAUGUGAGCCACCACACCUGGCCAGAGUUUGCAUUUCUAACACAUUUCCAUGUGAUGAGGAUGCUGCUGGUCCAAGGACCACACUGAGAACCACUGCUGUAGAAGAUACCAUGCAGCACCGACCAGCCUCUUUCUCCCUGCAGGACUGAAGGACGUACGCCCUCUCCCGGAAUCGUCUCAGCUACAGAGAACCACCUUGCCCAAGGUCACCACCCUCUUGCCAAGGGGGUCACUUGGAUCUAAUGAUUGGUUAAUGCUGGGGGGAGGGGGUAAGUCUUGGCCCCCAGCCUCAACAGUGAUGGCGGUGGCUCCGGGGUCAUCCUAGCUUCCGAGUUUCGUCUAGGUUGAGGGCGCCAUGUUGGGACUGCAUCAGCUUCUCUCUCUGCCUGGUUCUGCUUCCUUUACUUUACCAUUUGUUGUUAGUCCAGGGCACACCCCAGUAAACUUCCUGCAUGCGAGUUCAUCUUAGACUGCUUCCCAGGGAAUCGUAUGUACAACACUCGGGAGUAGAGAGUCACUGAAACGGCCCUAGCUCUGAGAGACCCCUCCUGACCAGCCAUCACCCCUCCCGCUCUUCCUUACUCUGAUUUAUUGUCUUCGUAGAAUUUAACUCUCAGGUCUAUGGCCAUACUGCCCUGAAUGCGCCUGAUCUUGUCUGAUUUCAGAAGCUAAGCAGGGUCGUGCCCGGUUAGUACUUGGAUGGGAGAAUUUAGUGCUCGAACACUAUUGCUGUAGCUUUCUUUAAUAAAUAAAUUUGACUGCCUUUCCUGCUAGACUGUAAGCUCUGUGCAUGCAGGGACAUAGUCUCUCUUGUUCUGCAGAGCCAAGAGCAGGGCCUGGUACCUGACAGGCACUCGGACAACACGUACUGAACAAGUGAAUGAACUUCCAGGCAGGAAGAGUCACACAUCCUCACCAACAACUCCUAGGGUUUCAGAGAACUAGAAAGUCUAGGAAUACAGAGGGUGCUUUCAAAAGUGUUGUCUGUAAUUGGAAAUGCCUUAUGUUUGUUUAGUGCUUUAGUUUUAUUCAUUUUUUUUUAAAGCAGUUCAUUCAAUAUUGAUAGCAACCCAUAUUAUCAUAAACCCCCAUGUGGUGGGCAAGAUAGAGGGUUGCUUUGAAGCACUGGGAGAAGAGAAACCGGCCUUGGUGAGUUGAGUCUCUUGCUCAGCCAGGCCCACAUGGAAAUGCUGGUAUCCUGCCUCCUGGACCCAUGGUCCUGUCUCUGUAUCAUCAGCAGAAGCAAACUCAAGUCAGUUGCCACUGAAACUCACCGAGUCUGACUUUCCCCCAUGAAUACUCAUAUGGGGGCCAUUUUAUUGGAGAGGAUUUCAUAUUCACCACCCUGUACGGAAUUCUAAGUGCUAGCUCAGUGCUUUCAGGUGAUUACCAUUCUUUUUUUUUUUUUUUUUGAGAUGGAGUCUUGCUGUUGCCCAGGCUGGAGUGCAGUGGCGUGAUCUCGGCUCCCUGCAACUUCUGCCUCCUGGGUUCAAGCAAUUCUCCUGUCUCAGCCUCUUGAGUGGCUGGGAUUACAGGCGUAUAUCACCACGCCCAGCUAAUUUUUGUAUUUUUUAGUAGAGACGGGGUUUUAUCACGUUGGCCAGGCUGGCCUCGAACUCCUGACCUCAAGUGAUCCGCCCGUCUCAGCCUCCCAAAGUGCUGGGAUUACAGGUGUGAGCCACCGUGCCCAGCCGAUGACCACUCUUUAGAGUUUGGGAUUAUUCUUCCAAAUGGAGAUGAUUCAGCCAUGUCUGAUAUUGGUGAUUUGAGAAGGAGGAUGUCUAGGAUUGAUGCUUUGAGAAGACGAUCUCAAUUUUCUUAGAAUAUGAUUCCUUUUGUCCUUGGAGAGUUAUUUUUAAGUAGCAGAUUCUGGGAACUCCCCAUGCCCUCCACCUCCUACUCCCAAAUUCCGCCCCCGCCCGCCCCCGCGGCCAAGUAGGCCUGGUCUCUAGACGCAUGGAAAGCGUUCAGGUCCACUCAGACUGUGCUGCGAUCUGAAAGAAUGAUAACAUACGAGAAGGCCCUUUGGUCCUACACUGUGAAUGAGUAAGGGGCAGCUGCAAAAUGCUAAGAAUGCUGAGUGCAUUAAGUGAAGUGUUUCUCCCAGGUGUGCACAGGGUGUGGCUUCCAAGGGGAAUGUGGAUGCUGGAAUGAGGGAGGCAGCCACCUAGGCCGGUCAAGUCAGAGGCCCAGCAAGGAGAAAGCGAGCCAAGGCAAACGCCGACAGAAGAGAACGAUAAAUCCGCGGCGCACUCGGCAGAACGUACACCGCACCGCAUAAUUUAGCGGGGCAAUGCCGCCGGGAGUCCACGCCAAGUUAAUGGAAUAUUUCCUGUCUGGGGACUGUGCAACCCCCUGGUCUCCCAAUGCCUCAGUUACUGACGCUGCAAACAAGGCAGAUUGUCCCAGAGAUUAGAGCUCUCAGGCUUUCUCGGGCUUCAAUCAAUCAAAGGAACGUAAGGACCCCUCCCCUACAGAGAGAGCCGGACGUGAGCCAGAUUUUGUCCAGACUUACUUAUAUCUGCCCUGUGGGAUCCCGAUUCUGCAAGAUUUAAUAAACAAUGCCUCAACAGAUAGCAUUUAAUUUUCAUUCAAACGUUUCCAGGGAAGAAAGAGGUAAAACUCUUGCUUGUACCAGCACAACUGCCCGAAACCCGUGGGAUACCCAGUCUGAGGCAUGUUGCUAUCGACAGUCAUUUCACACAGCUGGCAGUUUUUUCUUUUCUGAUGGCCUAGCUCUCUUUACUCCACCGUAAAUGCAAACUAAGACGAAACUUGGGAUUUACCUCCGGUGCCUAAAUGCCAACCUGACACUGUCUCAUUGUCUCCUGAGCCCAGUAGGACGGUAAUUUGUGAAAUACGGAGCCUCUCACCUCAGCAGCGCUUCUUUCUAUUCCCACACAUAUGCACAUGCUAAAAUGGAAUGUGGUAACUAGCAUAAAAUAGGGUACAACAAUUGCUGCAAGAUUUGUUUUUUUGGCUGGGCACAGUGGCUCACGUCUGUAAUCCCAUCACUUUGGGAGGCUGAGGUGGGUGGAUCUUUUGAGGUCAGGAGUCUGAGACCAGCCUGACUAACAUGGUGAAACCCAGUCUCUACUAAAAAUACAAAAAAAAAAAAAAAAAAAUUAGCCAGGCAUGGUGACACACGCCUAUAGUCCCAGCUACUCUGGAGGCUGAACCAGCAGAAUUGCUUGAACCCAGGAGGCAGAGGUUGCAGUGAGCCAAUAUCGUGCCACUGCACUCCAGCCUGGGAGACAGAGCGAGACUCCCUCUCAAAAAAAAAAAAAGAUUUUUUUUUUCUAUUGUGACUUUUCUACUUCUGUCAUCACUGCUGAGCCAAGACAGACAUGUAAGAUCCCGUCAGCACCGUACUUGGAUGCUGCAUUCACAAUUGUGAAUUCCAACCGUAGCCAUGACAAAGGAGAGAGGAGAGCUACAAAGCACUCAAAGGGAUGUCCCC